UUAGUUGACAAAUUUGGGUGCUCUGAUGAAUACUUAUGCCUCUGAUGCUCGUGGUCAAUUUGGUGUUAGGCAAAGGAAAAAAUCUAGGAGGAGAUCCAGUUAUUCUCUACUUAAUUUCGAAUAGCCCUUUUCCCAAAAUUAACUGAUGAAAUAAUUGAUUGAGUUAUUAUUCUUUGAUGGAAUUUUAAGAUAAGGACACCAGCUGUUCAGCUGAGGAAACUCCAGCUGAAGAGGCGAAAAAAGUAAAUCCCAGAGAACUGAACCCAUAUUUGAAGGAUGGUGGAGGUGUGGUUAUCCUGAUGAUUCAGGAGGAACAAUACAACUUCUGUCUACUGCUGUUAUUGGCGACGGAGGUGCAAGUUGGAGGCUUAAAGCCUUGAGACGAGCUCAAGAACAAGCAGAUCGUGAAGGACGGAAGCUUGAUGAGGUUGGCAUUCUAACUUGUACAGUUAUUUAUAGGUGGCAGCAGAAUGCUUGGGGCUCACUUAGUCAGCUUGCUGUUUCUGUGGCUUCCGGUAAAGCUGCACCAACCCAUGCUCAUCUUCAUGCUAUCAACGAUACAAGGCGAGGAGUAAUGGAUGAUAAAGAAGCUGUUGCAGACAAAAGAAAUCAGACUUAUGCUAGAAAGGUAAUGUCAGAUGUGAAUUUACCAUAAGAUGCCAGUUAGUUGCUUUUAUAUUUCUUUGGUUUUUCAUUACAGUUUAGUUUUAGUGCUUUAUGGAAUGACUUCUGAAUAUCAAGUUUAGUUUUAAAUUAAUUUUGGCUUUUUCUUACACAUCUAACCCUGUGGGAUUACAUUGGCUUUGCUGUUGUUGUUGAUGAUGAUGUAGAGCCCGUUUGGAUUAACUGAUUGUAAAUAGCUGAUAAGCUUGUAGUGCUGAAAAAAAUUUUUAAAUGCUGAAACUGAUUUUUAAAAUAA